rnacentral:rRNA from 1 species
UACGGGGGGGGGCAAGCGUUGUUCGGAAUUACUGGGCGUAAAGGGCUCGUAGGUGGCCAACUAAGUCAGACGUGAAAUCCCUCAGCUUAACUGGGGAACUGCGUCUGAUACUGGAUGGCUUGAGUUUGGGAGAGGGAUGCGGAAUUCCAGGUGUAGCGGUGAAAUGCGUAGAUAUCUGGAGGAAUACCGGUGGCGAAGGCGGCAUCCUGGACCGACAUUGACGCUGAUGAGCGAAAGCUAGGGGAGCAAACGGG